rnacentral:lncRNA from 1 species
AGCGGGGGUGUGAUCAGUAGAGCCAAAGAAGGAAGGAAACACAAUAUGAUGAGCUGGCAGUGAGUAGGAGUAUUGAUAUCGCCAUAUACCGCGUCUCCUUGAAGGGAUGUGCAUGCGCCAACAGAAUGACGCAACACAAUGUUGGGGGUUACCAUCGCUUCUAUAUAAAUAGGAGCCGAGCCGGGGGCGGAUCGCACAUGAGAGAAAAAGGCCAUUGAUCCCAUUAGUUCAUCUCCUCCUAUAGAAAACCUACGAGAGAGCCCGAGCAAGAGCAGUGGACUUCGGCGACCAUCAGGG